UAUACAGAUUUUAGUGGCCACCAUUAGACUUGCACAGUUAGGCUUCAUGGGGAUGUAAGGGAAAUAAAACUGGCAAUUUUAGUUGUACUUUUUAGCACUGUGAAGAAAUUCUGCACUUCUUGACAAGAAUUCCAGGAGACAUGGAGAGUGCAUAAUAGCAUUUCUGAACAAUAUCUAACCACUUGUCUGGGGAAUUUGUGAAUGUGGGCGUUGCUUUUGCUUGUCUACAUUGCUUUGCUGUUAUUUUCGCACGUAAAUUCUUCAUCUUUCUUAUGCUCUGCUUACAGCACUGUAGAUAUUAUAUAGAUAUAGUAAUCUUCAAAUUUUUUUGCUAAAACAAUAGUUAAAAAGCCCAACAUUUCUCAUUUCCCAUGGACAAGCUGCAUAAUGCCUUGACGUAGGGAACAAGAGCCAAAUGAAACACCUAAUCAAAUAAAUAUUUGAAAGAGUGAAACUAUUGCUCAUUGUUACUACUUAACAGACCAGGCUUGUGAAAAGGGUAAGGUCUUUGAGUACAAUGUGAAAGCCUGCAACAGCUCUUGCUGCUCUUUAUCAGAGAGGGAUAGGAGCUGUGAUGUACGAUAGCCCAGUUGAUGGAGUGGUUGUCCUGAAAGACUGUAUGAAGGUAUCUGUACUGAGCAUGAUCAAUCUGAUUGUUACGUAAAUGAUGAGGUUCUGAAGCCAAGCAGAAGGAUUCAGAUGAAUGGCAACCUGUGGUAUGUACGCUCCAUUAAACAAUCAUCAGAGCCAGAUUCAGCUCCUAGUUACACCUGUCCAGCACCAUUGCAGAUGUUUGGCUGACAGCAGACUCUUGACCACGGUAUGUUAUUGUGAGGAUCGUUUCUUUUGUAUAUGACUAAGAUUUGUCUGAGUAAGAAAAUAGGCAAUAAGAGAAGACACUGGGCUGUAGUUAGAGCUUUGGGAAUAGGUGAGUAGAUCUCGGUUACUGGCAGAGUGACUGAUGUCAGUCAGUCUUCAGGCAAAAGUAGGUGAAACUGUGACCCUGUUGAAGUCAAUGAGUGUUUUGCCAAUGACUUCAAUGCAUUCAUUUUUAAACAGCUUGCUACAGCUCAAUGGGAUAAAAAAAAUCAGAGUAUUCAGGUAUUUUCUGGAUUGCACAAAAUUUCUAGAGUUGCAACUGACUAGGUAUCUUUCUUUCUGUUUUUAACCCCCAGCAAGUAGCUACCUGGCUACAAGCUGUCAUAGCCGUAUCUGCCAUGAGUCCAAUACUGUUGUAUGUUCACCUCUGACCUGUCCAAGCCCAUCCUCAUGGAAAGCAGGAGUGAGGCUGGUAAAACACAGACCUGAUGAUUCCUGCUGCAAAUUUUUUUAUUGUGAAUUGGGGCUUUCUUAGCAUGGGAGAAGGCGCAGAAGGGGCUCCGAACACCUAACAGUCCCACCCAGAAAACAGCAAUAAUUUGAUUGGUCUUGCUGUAACAUUCCAAGCCAGUAAAGCAUGUAUAAAUUACACUAAAAAGAGAAGUGGAGAAUACAUGCCUUUGCUAUAGAGAAAAUCUGGUAACUUCUGAACCAUUUCCCUCUUCUGCUCAGGAGGAAAAGUAUUAAAGUACUCAUACCAGUAUAUCACUUCCUGCACCUGCCAGAUCUGCAGCAUCCUCAGCGUUUUACUAGAUAAUUUGCUUAUUCUAAAAUUACAAACUUGAGAUACUUAUAUCCUCUGUAUAUAAGGCUGUUUUAAACCAGCAGAGAACUGAGUCUAACAAGCAUUAUUAAGACACAUGCCAACUACUCAGCUCAAAUUUGGUUUCUUUGUAAAAGGAAUGAUAGUUUCAAUUAAACUUUCUGUCCUUGGUGUCUGACAAUCACAUCUGAAAAAUAAA